AGGGAAACCGAGUCUUAACCGGGCGUUAAGUUGCAGGGUAUAGACCCGAAACCCGGUGAUCUAGCCAUGGGCAGGUUGAAGGUUGGGUAACACUAACUGGAGGACCGAACCGACUAAUGUUGAAAAAUUAGCGGAUGACUUGUGGCUGGGGGUGAAAGGCCAAUCAAACCGGGAGAUAGCUGGUUCUCCCCGAAAGCUAUUUAGGUAGCGCCUCGUGAACUCAUCUUCGGGGGUAGAGCACUGUUUCGGCUAGGGGGUCAUCCCGACUUACCAACCCGAUGCAAACUGCGAAUACCGAAGAAUGUUAUCACGGGAGACACACGGCGGGUGCUAACGUCCGUCGUGAAGAGGGAAACAACCCAGACCGCCAGCUAAGGUCCCAAAGUCACAGUUAAGUGGGAAACGAUGUGGGAAGGCUCAGACAGCCAGGAUGUUGGCUUAGAAGCAGCCAUCAUUUAAAGAAAGCGUAAUAGCUCACUGGUCGAGUCGGCCUGCGCGGAAGAUGUAACGGGGCUAAACUGUGCACCGAAGCUGCGGCAGCGACGCUUAUGCGUUGUUGGGUAGGGGAGCGUUCUGUAAGCCUGCGAAGGUGUCCUGUGAGGGAUGCUGGAGGUAUCAGAAGUGCGAAUGCUGACAUAAGUAACGAUAAUGCGGGUGAAAAGCCCGCUCGCCGGAAGACCAAGGGUUCCUGUCCAACGUUAAUCGGGGCAGGGUGAGUCGACCCCUAAGGCGAGGCCGAAAGGCGUAGUCGAUGGGAAACGGGUUAAUAUUCCCGUACUUGGUGUUACUGCGAAGGGGGGACGGAGAAGGCUAUGUUGGCCGGGCGACGGUUGUCCCGGUUUAAGCGUGUAGGCUGGUUUUCCAGGCAAAUCCGGAAAAUCAAG
rnacentral:rRNA from 2 species